GCAGAACAUCCAUGAAACCAUGGGACUUGUACUGGCUUAUCAGUUCAGAGAUGUUUGAGUCCUCUCCACAGAAGAUUCUGUGAAAAGAUGGAAACCAGAAAUACCUGUGUCCCACCAGGACAGAAGCUGUACAGCUAAGGAUGAGACUGGGGACUCCAGCCUGUGGUAGGCAGGUUAAUUUCUGAAGAUUGCCCUGCUGACUGAGUUGCUGGGCAGUGUUCUAGUGCAAAAAGCUCUGCAAGAACAGAACUCUGGUGAUGAAUU